rnacentral:lncRNA from 1 species
AUGUCUGUUACAUACAUUAUUGACAAUAAAAGAAUGUUAUUACACCUUGCCUUUGCAAUUUUGACAAGACUGUCAAAGCUGUUGUGUCAAAAUAACUGUUUAUGUCUCCCCAGAUGGAACAACUGUAUCACAUCAGAGGCAAAACUUCCUGCUGGUGAACAUGAUGGCCAAGCUCACUUUAUAUCUCACCUCUGGGAUCCAGGUUUAGAUCUCUGGUUAUCAGCAUCUCCCAUACAGAACCAGUGGAAAUCCAACUCUGUCACUUAUCUUAGUCGUUCAUUGAUUAAUGUGUAAAGGAUGGAACACAUCCUGUUAACUCCUAAUUUGCUCUUCCAGAUCCAACAAGGGUCAACUGAGACUUUUACUCCAUGUCUCCAUGGUCCUCCUCAGAAACUCAGGUUGAGGGGCUCCAUGUCACUUCCAACUCAGUGAAAAAUCAAUGGGAGGAACAAGUAUCCUGACCCAUAGUGCUCAGUCGUGGGCCCAGGUGACAAGCUACAUGUCACUUUCACUCCCAACUCAAUGGAGAGAACCAGUUGCACGGCUCCACCCAACAACAGGGAAAGCAAGAACCACAAUCCUACAGAGUAAUUUUGCUAAUCAGCCACCAGUCACAAGGAAACUGCCAGACAGGAGAGCUUACAUAAGGACAUCAAAGAAAUUUGGUGCCAAUCUUUCUGCGUUCAUGGUCAACAAAUUAAAUCAGAAAGCUACGAAGUGACAUGGGGAGGUUUCUGAG